AAAACUCACCUUUCUGCCUCACAACUCAUGAAUAUUCCCACAAAACAUGCCUUAUUACUGCCUCACAUAAUUGACAAGCCUUUAAUAACUAAUGAAUAACUUCCAUAAACUUACCUUUCUGCCUUUCUGCCUCAGGUAACAACACUUGCCACCUUCACAUCUUCUCAGGGGCAUCCUAACCCACCCUGGCCAGACUACAUAAGGUGCCAGUCCCUAUAGAGCCAAAGGGAACUGUGGCACUUAAUUGAAAUGUAUAAUACAGGGUUGUUGAAAGAUUUUUAUUUGUUUAUUCGUUUAUUAUUUUAUAUUUUCAGUUCACUGUUGUUUCAAAAUUAUGUAUUCUCAUUUGUAUUGUUAUGGGUGUGCUUUGUUUAUUUGUGUAUUUGUUUGUUUAUUUGUGUUUAUUUCAUGAGGCAAGAGAGAGAGAGAGAGAGAGAGAGAGAGAGAGAGAGAGAGAGAGAGAGAGAGAUCGUCCCAGUUGACUUUUUCCUCCUCCUCCUUCUUCUUAACACAGAUUACUCGACUUCUGACUACAUCUCUCUCUCUCUCUCUCUCUCUCUCUCUCUCUCUCUCUGUCAUUCCAUUAUUUAAUCCCCUUUUUAAUUAUUCUUGCGUGUUUUUCCCCUUCUUUUUGCGUUUGUCUUUGUCACCACACACACUCUCUCUCUCUCUCUCUCUCUCUCUCUCUCUCUCUCUCUCGGGUACUACUGAAGGGGGAGGGGCAGGGGGGACGGGGGUGCGCAAAACACGUGCGCACUGUGACGGAAUUUGCCCAAAACUGAUGAAAUGUGACGAAGAGAAAAAUUCCAUUACAAAAAGAAAAAUUUCGUCCCUUUAAAUCCGUCCUUUACUUUUGAGCUGAUUAGGAAGCCACGUUUAAAAGUUGGUGUACGUACGUGUGUGUGUGUGUGUGUGUCGGUGUGUGUGUUCAUGUAUGUACGUUGUGUCCGUGUACGUCAUUGAGCAUCGUGGGAGUUGCGUGCGUGCGUGCGUGUGUGCGUGCGUUGAGGGGAAAGUUAGCAGCGAUUGACGGACAGACGCGUGAAGAGAAAGAUUUACAAGCGUGGUUAUUUCAAGGCGUAUUUCCCACCCACGGGUUUGGAACUGGUGAGGGGAGAGUGUGGCCGAGUCUCCAUCACCUGUGGGAGUUAAUCAGAUUGUUUCAAAACUUACAGCUAACUUCGAAUUAAGGAAAUCGCGCCUUUAUCGAUUGGAGAGUGCGCACUGGGACAGGCCGCCGCGUGAGGUGCCGAGUGACUAUUUACAAAAACUUUAUUAUCGCCCCUUUCCUCGGCUUCCCCAGCGAGGCUACACUCAGCAAGGCGUCAGGGGGUCAAUGGUAAAUGAAUGAAGUGUGCAGCGUGAACGGGCGAGGCGUGGGGGCCGCGGAAUAGCGUGCAAAAUAGGGACACACACUUCACACGGCUGGCACGCGGGACCACGAGCCAUCUUUCCCAGACUUGGCAAGUAAAGUCAGCAAACUUUUUCAGACUCGCUCAACUUUCUAAGAUUUGAUCGUGUGUGGAUUUUAGACAUGGACACAGCCACCUUCUGGCGGCAAAAACCCUGCAGCACACGCCACUGACACCUGCGGGCCGCCACACCACCGCCUCGCCGCGACAAACCAGGUGGCCUGGCCCGUUCUCUAUGGAUGCUUGAAGGAGAUACUCGCUCAUUGCUGCAAGAAUGGCGAGAGGAAGAAGCAACAGGGCAGGGGGAGGAGGGGGAGGAGGAGGUGGGGGAGGAGGGAGGGAGAGGAGAGAAGGGGGGACAAGAGCGAGACCUCCCCCACACGCUCCUCCCGUCCCUCCUACACCAGCCUCUUCCCACGCCCCCCCACAGCCGCCUCCACGCCCCCCUCGCCCACCACGGCUGCCCCCCCACCGCGGCUGAU